rnacentral:rRNA from 1 species
CACCGCGGUUAUACGGGUGCGCUCAAGAUGAUAUCCUACGGCGUAAAGUGUGAUUAGAGGUAGUACUAAACUAAAGCCAAACAACCCCUAUACUGUUAUACGUUACGGGGCCAGGAAGACCCACAACGAAGGUAGCUUUAACUCCAACCCUUGAACUCACGACCGUUGAGGAA